rnacentral:lncRNA from 1 species
GAACACAACAAAUACAAAAACAAACAGAAAUAUACAAACAAUAUUUAGCUUAUCAAUAGAUGUAAAUUCAGAAUUCUUUCUUUCUAAAUUGUAAAAGUAUUUUGUAUUUUUUUCACCUUCCUCCAACCAUCUCCUUCUUGAUCUUACAAAUGCCCCUUUUGCUCUCUUUUCAUACAUUCGGUCCAUUUCUAGUUGUAAAGAGAAUAACUGACCCUUACCUUCUUCAUCAAGGUCCUCCAUAGAGAUUAGAGAAAGUAUUUCCUUAACAAGUUUAUCUCCCCUCAAUCUUUUAAGUUCAGCAAUUUCUUUACCUCUCUUCAUGGCUGUUUGUCUUAUUUCAUACUUCAUUAAUUCCCAAUAUUUCCCAUAAGACUUAAAUAGUUGGGCUUUCCUCCAAUUGUCUUGUAUAAUAUCUUUGGCAUCCAUCUUGAAAUUAUCAUCUUCCAACAGUCUACUAUUGAGUUUCCAAUAACUCCGAUUUGGUUUAACUUCAGAUCCAUUAAUAUUUAAAGAUAAGAAUAUAACUUUAUGAUCAGUAAGAAUUGAUGGUUCAAUUGAUACCUUGACUAAAGAAUUAUCUAAUGAAUUAGAAAUCAACCAGAAGUCAAUUCUUGACUGUCUGGACAUGUCCUUGUUACUCCAAGUGAAUUCCUUUUUAUCAGGAUAUUUAGAUCUCCAAAUAUCGACUAAUCCAAGACCAAGACAUAGGUUAUUAAACUCAGGAUUAACUAUGCAGGAUCUGUUAGGAGGGGGAUAUCUGUCAAUCAUCACAUUAGAUACAGAAUUAAAAUCUCCACCUAAGAUAAUUUUGAUAUCCUGAAAUACACCUAUAACUCUAUUAAUUUCUUCUUCAAAUUCUUGAAAUAAUAUCCUGUUGUUUGGUUUGUUGUUGGAUGCAUAAAUAUUCCCUAAUAAAAACAUUUCACUGUUGAAAUUUACUGUUAAAAUUAACCAACGUCCAGAGUGGUGAGUCUUACUACUGAUGACCUUCCCUUUAAAUGCACCUCUUAAAACUGCUACACCUGCAGAGUGGUUGUUGCCAUAUGAUAACCAGAUAUCGUUACCCCAUUGAUUUUUCCAAAAAGAUAGAUCGGAAGAACAAGCAUGAGUCUCUUGUAAAAAGUAAAAGUCUGCAUUAAACCAUUUGCAAUACAGGAAAAUAGCCUUACGCUUGAGUAAAUUACGAAUACCCCUGACAUGAAUUGAACAAAGACAUAUAGACAUAAACUUCAACCAACAACCUUGUUAUGCUAAUAUAAGCUUUUCCUAAGGAUAUGUAACUCCAAAGGAUUUCCAUCCCGUUAUUAACCUCUCCAAAAAAACCAAAAAAAAAACAUAUUGGUCAUAAGAUUACCAAAGUAUUGUUACUCCCACAAGGGGGAGACAUUGUGUAGACUUUUCAAUAAGCAGUUAUUCACCUAUAGUUAGUGUUUAGUUUACCAGUUCUCAGGUCAGCCUUUUCUCAUUCAAGUGUUUGUGUACAUUUUUAUAAUAAAAGGCUGCUUUUCACCUGGUAAUCAGUUUUUUGGCGUGACAGUUCUGUCCGAGUUAGACUCUGGCUCUCACUCAAAUGUUCUGAUUUGGCCGCAUUUCUUUCCCAUCGAUGAUCACUCUUGCACCGAUAAAAAAAUGCAGUUUUCCCUGCCUUUCGGGCUGCAGCCACCAUCGGCCACAGUUUCUCUCUUGUCACUUUGUCUGCUGAGGUCAGAUCCUCCGUGAACCUCAAUUCUUGUUUGAUGAGGAAUUCAAAAUUCUUUGCUCACCUCCAAAGAUGAUCCCGUGUAGAUCUGUUGGUGAACCGGAUGAUGGUUAUCCUCGGUCUCUUGUCUUGAUCCUUAAGUCUUCCCAAACGAUGGAUGAUGUCUACAUUUUCCUGAAGUUUGGCUUUUGAUUCGGGAAUGACAGCUCCACAGAUGUCAACAACUCUGCAUUUGAUGUCCUCACCCGCCUGUUCUGGAAUUCCAUGGAGCCUCAGGUUCCACCUGCGCUCGUAUCUCUCCACCUCAUUCACCUUUUACUCGAGUUCAGCCACCUUCUUUUCAUUUUCCUGGCAGAUAACUUCCACUUUCUUCAUGUCACUUUUGAGGGUUUUCACUUCUCCAAAGAUAAAGUCAACAGAUUUUUGAAUGACCUCUAUUUUCCUCGUAUUCUCCCUAACCAUGACUUCCAAGCCAUUUGCCCUUUCAUCUAUCUUUUCUGUCAAAAGCAUUACAAUAUUGUUUUGCAUCUCAAAAAGUGACAUACCCUCGUGGCCUCUCAUCUUUUUCCCCUGGGGCUUGACUGGAGUGCCGGGGUCGUAAGGUAAAGGCCUGAGCUGGGGACUGGAGGGGCGCAAGAUGUGAGCAUUGUUGUCCGUGCUCACCGCAUUUUCAUCACCCAUUGCAGUAUUUCCCCCCACAGUUACAUUCUGAAGAGGAGUACCCAAAAUCAUACUAUCUUUUGUGGUUAAUUGUCCAUCUGACGAUCUCUCCAUUUCUUUCCUUUUGGUUCUGGUCGUGGCAGUUUCCAUGUACGUUCGACAAGCUAGUUUUUGAGCUAGCUAGCUUAUCAGUGUUGUCGCAAACUUCGUUUUAGAGGUGAAUAACUUGCCGAAAGUAAUCAAUUACUUUGGUAAAUAAACUAAACCCUAUUCAUACAGGGUUUUAUGACCGUAGAAAUAAUCCAAUGGUCAUAAUUGGGUAAGGAAAUCCAAUAAUUCCUUCAGCUACCAAAACAAAUGAUCUGCACUGACCACCAUCUUGUGUGCCAUCCUCAAAAAAAGAGAAUUGUUGGUGUCAAGUCUUAGCUCUCUGAAUCAAAUUCAUUGGUAAUACGUUUUUGGACUUCAAACCAGUAUCUUGGUACUAAGAUUCCCAAAAAGAAAACAAUCAGCAUUUUUUUUUUAAAACCAUGUCCCGCCUUGACUAUAUUUUACUGUUGAACUGUUACCUAGGCCUAGUGACAAAUACUCUGGGCUAAUGAGCACCCCAGGGAGAG